GAUGAAGAACGCAGCGAAAUGCGAUACUUGGUGUGAAUUGCAGAAUCCCGUGAACCAUCGAGUCUUUGAACGCAAGUUGCGCCCGAAGCCAUUAGGCCGAGGGCACGCCUGUCUGGGCGUCACACGUCGUUGCCCCCCCAUCUACUCCUUCGGGAUUGCGGGGGGCGGAUGAUGGCCUCCCGUGCGCCUCGUCGCGCGGUUGGCAUAAAUGCCAAGUCCUCGGCGACGCACGCCACGACAAUCGGUGGUUGCGAAACCUCGGUUGCCCGUCGUGUGCGGUCGUCGCGCAUCGAGGGCUCGAAAAAAUUGCCGGGCUCCGGCUCGGCUUUCAACGCGACCCCAGGUCAGGCGGGGUUACCCGCUGAAUUUAAGCAUAUCAAUAAGCGGAGGA
rnacentral:misc_RNA from 1 species